CUACGAUGGGGGAUAACUGCGCGAAAGCGUUGCUAAUACCGCAUACGACCUACGGGUGAAAGCAGGGGACCGCAAGGCCUUGCGUCGAUGGAGCGGCCGAUGCCGGAUUAGCUAGUUGGUGAGGUAAAGGCUCACCAAGGCGACGAUCCGUAGCUGGUCUGAGAGGACGACCCAGCCACACUGGGACUGAGACACGGCCCAGACUCCUACGGGAGGCAGCAGUGGGGAAUCUUGGACAAUGGGCGAAAGCCUGAUCCAGCAAUGCCGCGUGUGGGAAGAAGGCCUUCGGGUUGUAAACCACUUUUGGCGGGAAAGAAAUGGUCUGUGCUAAUACCACGGAUUGAUGACGGUACCCGCAGAAUAAGCACCGGCUAACUACGUG
rnacentral:rRNA from 1 species